ACAGCAGCCGCCGCGGGAAAACGUAGGGUGCAAGCGUUAAUCGGAAUUACUGGGCGUAAAGCGUGCGCAGGCGGUUCGCUAAGACAGGUGUGAAAUCCCCGGGCUUAACCUGGGAACUGCAUUUGUGACUGGCGGGCUAGAGUAUGGCAGAGGGGGGUAGAAUUCCACGUGUAGCAGUGAAAUGCGUAGAGAUGUGGAGGAAUACCGAUGGCGAAGGCAGCCCCCUGGGCCAAUACUGACGCUCAUGCACGAAAGCGUGGGGAGCAAACAGGAUUAGAUACCCCUGUAGUCCCUGUCUCUUAUAC
rnacentral:rRNA from 1 species